CGAAGGGUGCAAGCGUUACUCGGAAUUACUGGGCGUAAAGCGUGCGUAGGUGGUUGUUUAAGUCUGCUGUGAAAGCCCUGGGCUCAACCUGGGAAUUGCAGUGGAUACUGGGCGACUAGAGUGUGGUAGAGGAUAGUGGAAUUUCCGGUGUAGCAGUGAAAUGCGUAGAGAUCGGAAGGAACAUCUGUGGCGAAGGCGACUAUCUGGGCCAACACUGACACUGAGGCACGAAAGCGUGGGGAGCAAACAGGAUUAGAUACCCUGGUAGUCCACGCCCUAAACGAUGCGAACUGGAUGUUGGGCACAACUUGGUGCCCAGUAUCGAAGCUAACGCGUUAAGUUCGCCGCCUGGGGAGUACGGUCGCAAGACUG
rnacentral:rRNA from 1 species